UUAAGCAUAUCAGUAGGCGGAGGAAAAGAAACUAACCAGGAUUCUCCUAGUAACGGCGAGUGAACGGAGAUUAGCCCAUCACCGAAGUCUAUCCGCUCUUGUGGACAGGACAAUGUGGUGUUCGGGCAUGCACCUGGGAGCGCUUGCCUACUCGAAGUCCAUCUCCGAUUUUGGCUUGGACUUGAUCCGGAGCGGGUGAAAGGCCCGUGCGAGUAGGGUGUGUGUGUAAAGACUUGCGCUCCUCAGACGUGCAUGCCUUCGAGUCGGAUUGCUUGAGAAUGCAGUCCAAAGUGGGUGGUAAACUCCAUCCAAGGCUAAAUACUGGCACGAGUCCGAUAGUAGACAAGUACCGUGAGGGAAAGUUGAAAAGUACUCUGAAGAGAGAGUAAAUAGCACGUGAAGCCGCUUGCAGGGAAGCUGGUGGAGUCAAGCUUCAUGCUUGGGGAAUUGUCGUGAGAGUGAGCGUUGUGGCAGGACGUGAUGCUGGCGAGCCUGGAAACGGUUUGGUGCAUGCAAGUGCGCUUCAAGUCGCUCUGGGCAGAGUGUUUGGGCCGGCCUCUAUCUCCUUCUCUCUCGUGGCUUAUUCCUCGCCGCAUACAUCACGGUCGAUUGGGUUCACUUCGGCGUGCUGUGCAUU
rnacentral:rRNA from 1 species